rnacentral:misc_RNA from 1 species
GAAAUGCGAUAAGUAAUGUGAAUUGCAGAAUUCAGUGAAUCAUCGAAUCUUUGAACGCACCUUGCGCUCCUUGGUAUUCCGAGGAGCAUGCCUGUUUGAGUGUCAUUAAAUUCUCAACUCCUCCAGCUUUUGCCGCUAACCUCUGGUGUGAUAAUUAUCUAUGCCAUUGAGAGGCGACAUAAUGAAGCUAAGCUUCCAAUCGUCCUUUAGGACAAUACUUGACAAUCUGACCUCAAAUCAGGUAGGACUACCCGCUGAACUUAA